UUAUGGCCAUAUCACAUUGAAACAUUGGUUCCCGUAUGAUCACCGAAGUUAAGUAAUGUCAAGCCUGGUCAGUACCUAGAUGACUGACCACUUGGGAAUACCAGUUGCUAU